UCCCGGGCGUGGCGCAGAGGCAGACGCGCCGCCAUGGCAUGGCGGAGCACGCCGGUUCGAAUCCGGCCCCCGGGAG
rnacentral:tRNA from 1 species